UACGUAGGGCGCAAGCGUUAAUCGGAAUUACUGGGCGUAAAGCGUGCGCAGGCGGUGAUGUAAGACAGAUGUGAAAUCCCCGGGCUCAACCUGGGAACUGCAUUUGUGACUGCAUCGCUGGAGUACGGCAGAGGGGGAUGGAAUUCCGCGUGUAGCAGUGAAAUGCGUAGAUAUGCGGAGGAACACCGAUGGCGAAGGCAAUCCCCUGGGCCUGUACUGACGCUCAUGCACGAAAGCGUGGGGAGCAAACAGG
rnacentral:rRNA from 1 species